rnacentral:tRNA from 1 species
CCUGAUGUAGCUGAUGCGGUCAUAGCGGCCGGCUGAAGACCGGCAGAACGAGGUUCAACUCCUCGCGUCAGGACCA